rnacentral:rRNA from 1 species
UACGGGGGGAGCAAGCGUUGUUCGGAUUUACUGGGCGUAAAGGGCGCGUAGGCGGUCAGCACAAGUCAGUUGUGAAAUCUCCGGGCUUAACCCGGAAAGGUCAACUGAUACUGUGCGACUAGAGUGCGGAAGGGGCAACUGGAAUUCUCGGUGUAGCGGUGAAAUGCGCAGAUAUCAGGAGGAACACCGGUGGCGAAGGCGGGUCUCUGGGCCGAUACUGACGCUGAGACACGAAAGCGUGGGUAGCAAACAGG